AGGAUUUCUGCUUUUCUGUUCAUCACCUUUACAAAGGAGAACAACAGCAGCGUCCAUCUCAAUGGAAGCCAAUCCAGCAGGAUUUCUUGUUUUCUGUUCAUCGCUUUUACAAAGGAUACUAACAAGCACAUCACACUCUGCUGAAGCCAGUACAGCAGAUGAACUUGUGUACUCCACUUUAACCAUUCGUGGGGCCCAACAAAAUUGCCAGCCAGAAGAAUCAGACUUGUUGAGCUCCACAGUGACUUCCAGAGGAGGUGAAGGCCCAGGGCUCCCAGUGAAGGA